ensembl:snoRNA
ACACCCUCUGUCACUUUGCCAGUGGACUUACAUGUUUAUUAGUCAUUCAAGUGGAGCAAAGGAAAUAUCUUUUUAAAAUUCAGGCAAAUUGAGUGCUUUGGAAACUUUCAGAGGAAAUAAAU